GGAGAGGUGGCCGAGUUGGUUUAAGGCGCUUGACUCGAAAUCAAGUGUACGCGAACCGUACCGGGGGUUCGAAUCCCUCCCUCUCCGCCA
rnacentral:tRNA from 1 species